rnacentral:rRNA from 1 species
GGAUGAACGCUGGCGGCGUGCCUAAUACAUGCAAGUCGAACGAGUUCUGAUUAUUGAAAGGUGCUUGCAUCUUGAUUUAAUUUUGAACGAGUGGCGGACGGGUGAGUAACACGUGGGUAACCUGCCCUUAAGUGGGGGAUAACAUUUGGAAACAGAUGCUAAUACCGCAUAAAUCCGAAAACCGCAUGGUUCUUGGCUGAAAGAUGGCGUAAGCUAUCGCUUUUGGAUGGACCCGCGGCGUAUUAGCUAGUUGGUGAGGUAACGGCUCACCAAGGCAAUGAUACGUAGCCGAACUGAGAGGUUGAUCGGCCACAUUGGGACUGAGACACGGCCCAAACUCCUACGGGAGGCAGCAGUAGGGAAUCUUCCACAAUGGACGCAAGUCUGAUGGAGCAACGCCGCGUGAGUGAAGAAGGCUUUCGGGUCGUAAAACUCUGUUGUUGGAGAAGAAUGGUCGGCAGAGUAACUGUUGUCGGCGUGACGGUAUCCAACCAGAAAGCCACGGCUAACUACGUGCCAGCAGCCGCGGUAAUACGUAGGUGGCAAGCGUUAUCCGGAUUUAUUGGGCGUAAAGCGAGCACAGGCGGUUUUUUAAGUCUGAUGUGAAAGCCCUCGGCUUAACCGAGGAAGUGCAUCGGAAACUGGGAAACUUGAGUGCAGAAGAGGACAGUGGAACUCCAUGUGUAGCGGUGAAAUGCGUAGAUAUAUGGAAGAACACCAGUGGCGAAGGCGGCUGUCUGGUCUGUAACUGACGCUGAGGCUCGAAAGCAUGGGUAGCGAACAGGAUUAGAUACCCUGGUAGUCCAUGCCGUAAACGAUGAAUGCUAGGUGUUGGAGGGUUUCCGCCCUUCAGUGCCGCAGCUAACGCAUUAAGCAUUCCGCCUGGGGAGUACGACCGCAAGGUUGAAACUCAAAGGAAUUGACGGGGGCCCGCACAAGCGGUGGAGCAUGUGGUUUAAUUCGAAGCAACGCGAAGAACCUUACCAGGUCUUGACAUCUUUUGAUCACCUGAGAGAUCAGGUUUCCCCUUCGGGGGCAAAAUGACAGGUGGUGCAUGGUUGUCGUCAGCUCGUGUCGUGAGAUGUUGGGUUAAGUCCCGCAACGAGCGCAACCCUUAUGACUAGUUGCCAGCAUUUAGUUGGGCACUCUAGUAAGACUGCCGGUGACAAACCGGAGGAAGGUGGGGAUGACGUCAAAUCAUCAUGCCCCUUAUGACCUGGGCUACACACGUGCUACAAUGGAUGGUACAACGAGUUGCGAGACCGCGAGGUCAAGCUAAUCUCUUAAAGCCAUUCUCAGUUCGGACUGUAGGCUGCAACUCGCCUACACGAAGUCGGAAUCGCUAGUAAUCGCGGAUCAGCACGCCGCGGUGAAUACGUUCCCGGGCCUUGUACACACCGCCCGUCACACCAUGAGAGUUUGUAACACCCGAAGCCGGUGGCGUAACCCUUUUAGGGAGCGAGCCGUCUAAGGUGGGACAAAUGAUUAGGGUG